GACGAACGCUGGCGGCGUGCUUAACACAUGCAAGUCGAACGGAAAGGCCCUGCUUUUGUGGGGUGCUCGAGUGGCGAACGGGUGAGUAACACGUGAGUAACCUGCCCUUGACUUUGGGAUAACUUCAGGAAACUGGGGCUAAUACCGGAUAGGAGCUCCUGCCGCAGGGUGGGGGUGGGAAAGUUUCGGCGGUUGGGGAUGGACUCGCGGCUUAUCAGCUUGUUGGUGGGGUAGUGGCUUACCAAGGCUUUGACGGGUAGCCGGCCUGGGAGGGUGACCGGCCACAUUGGGACUGAGAUACGGCCCAGACUCCUACGGGAGGCAGCGGUGGGGAAUAUUACACAGUGGGCGGGAGCCUGAUGCAACAACGCCGCGUGCGGGAUGACGGCCUUCGGGUUGUAAACCGCUUUCGCCUGUGACGAAGCGUGAGUGACGGUAAUGGGUAAAGAAGCACCGGCUAACUACGUG
rnacentral:rRNA from 1 species